rnacentral:rRNA from 1 species
UUCCGGUUGAUCCUGCCGGACCUUACUGCUAUCGGGAUGAGACUAAGCCAUGCAUGUCGAGCGCUCUUCAGCUAUGUAGAGAGCGCGGCGAACGGCUCAAUAACACGUAGUUAACCUACCCUCGGGAUGGGAAUAACCCUGGGAAACUGGGAUUAAUACCCACUAGAUGAUUAUACCUGGAAUGGCUUAUCAUCGAAAGAGUCUGGAAACAUGCUUCCAGCGUCGCCCGAGGAUGGGACCGCGUCCGAUCAGGUAGUUGGUGGGGUAAUGGCCUACCAAGCCUAUAACCGGUACGGGCCCUGAGAGGGGGAGCCCGGAGAUGGAAACUGGGAAAAGGUUCCAGGCCCUACGGGGUGCAGCAGGCGCGAAACCUCCACAAUGCGCGAAAGCGUGAUGGGGUUAUCCCGAGUGCCGUCCGAUGAGGAUGGCUUUUUAUUGAUGUAAGGAUUCGAUAGAAUAAAGGGGGGGCAAGACUGGUGUCAGCCGCCGCGGUAAUACCAGCCCCCUGAGUGGUAAGGACGAUUAUUUGGCCUAAAGCGUUCGUAGCCGGCUUAUCAAGUCUUUUGUUAAAUCCAACGAUUUAAUCGUUGGGCCGCAAAAGAUACUGUUAUGCUAGAGGACGGGAGAGGUCGACGGUAGUCCAGGGGUAGGGGUGAAAUCCUAUAAUCCUUGGAGGACCACCAGUGGCGAAGGCGGUCGACUAGAACGUGCCUGACGGUGAGGGACGAAAGCUGGGGGAGCGAACCGGAUUAGAUACCCGGGUAGUCCCAGCUGUAAACGAUGCGGGCUAGGUGUUGGGGCAGCCACGAGCUGCUCCAGUGCCGCAGAGAAGUUGUUAAGCCCGCCGCCUGGGGAGUACGGCCGCAAGGCUGAAACUUAAAGGAAUUGGCGGGGGAGCACCACAAGGGGUGAAGGCUGCGGUUUAAUUGGAUU